AGAAUUAAGGCUGGCUAUGUUUGUUCUUGUAUCUGUUCAUUAGGUUUCAUGGAAGUCAAUCAAUUACUGUAGCCACAAUUCAUCAUCUUCUUGCCGACUCAUAGACUCACAUUGGAGCAUUUGCUGAAGCUAAGCAAUAUAAGAGAAAAGCAUACAAUAUCUAUAGGACUAAAUUUGGCCCAGAUCAUGCACGUACUGUUCAGUCUUAUAAAAAACGUGAGGUAUAUCACUGAAAAGCAAGUCUCUUAUGACCAGACUGAGAAGCAACUGAUGGUGAGACUAGACCUGUAGGAAGAGGAACGGCUACACGUAAUAGAGAAGCAACUAAUGGUG
rnacentral:lncRNA from 1 species